rnacentral:rRNA from 1 species
AAGGUUUCCGUAGGUGAACCUGCGGAAGGAUCAUUACCGAGUGAGGGCCCUCUGGGUCCAACCUCCCACCCGUGUUUAUUUUACCUUGUUGCUUCGGCGGGCCCGCCUUAACUGGCCGCCGGGGGGCUCACGCCCCCGGGCCCGCGCCCGCCGAAGACACCCUCGAACUCUGUCUGAAGAUUGAAGUCUGAGUGAAAAUAUAAAUUAUUUAAAACUUUCAACAACGGAUCUCUUGGUUCCGGCAUCGAUGAAGAACGCAGCGAAAUGCGAUACGUAAUGUGAAUUGCAAAUUCAGUGAAUCAUCGAGUCUUUGAACGCACAUUGCGCCCCCUGGUAUUCCGGGGGGCAUGCCUGUCCGAGCGUCAUUGCUGCCCUCAAGCCCGGCUUGUGUGUUGGGCCCCGUCCUCCGAUCUCCGGGGGACGGGCCCGAAAGGCAGCGGCGGCACCGCGUCCGGUCCUCGAGCGUAUGGGGCUUUGUCACCCGCUCUGUAGGCCCGGCCGGCGCUUGCCGAUCAACCCAAAUUUUUAUCCAGGUUGACCUCGGAUCAGGUAGGGAUACCCGCUGAACUUAAGC